rnacentral:rRNA from 1 species
GAUCAUGGCUCAGGACGAACGCUGGCGGCGUGCCUAACACAUGCAAGUCGAACGGAAGUUAGAGCUUCGGUUUUAACUUUAGUGGCGAACGGGUGAGUAACGCGUGAGGAACCUGCCUUUCAGUGGGGGACAACAGUUGGAAACGACUGCUAAUACCGCAUGACACUUUUGGGAGACAUCUCCUGGAAGUCAAAGCUUUAUGUGCUGAAAGAUGGCCUCGCGUCUGAUUAGCUAGUUGGUGAGG